GCCGAGGUAGCUCAGCUGGUAGAGCAGCUGAUUCGUAAUCAGCAGGUCGGGAGUUCGAAUCUCCUCCUCGGCUCCA
rnacentral:tRNA from 3 species